UGCCCUUAAUACCUGCAGGAACGUGGCAGGAAGGCAGAAUCAGGGGGAAGAUAAUACCUUCAUUUCCUUUUAGGUAUCUUUCAGACUGCAAGUCAUGUGGAACCGCAGGAAAGGUUUCUUGUGUUUGCUGAGCCUUCCUAGGAACAAGUAGGAAAUACUCACUUGUCCGUGAUCUCAUCUGUGGUGCUUUCAAGUUUCCUAGAGCAGAGCUCCCCCCACCUGUGUGGAGAACCUUCCAGCAGAAGGCAGCAAUACCCGAGAAAACCUGCUGACCUGAGUUCACUGACUUGCCCAUCACCUUCCACUAUCCCAAGCAGUUCUCAAGACCAGCCUUCCAUGGAGCACACAUUUUGGGGAAAACUGCUCUAGAAGCUCAGGAAAAGGGUGACCACCAUCAACCCAUGAAGCCCAGGCAGCAGGGACUGGGCAAAGGCAGGGCAGGCUGCUGUGCAGCAAUUGGCCAGGGACUUCCCGGGGACAGGACAAGCAGCAGCCUCAGUGUGGAAAACCUUCCUAGUGAGCAUUCCUGGCAGAGCCAAGGCUUUCCAGCAGUUUCUAGGCACCUGGAAGUGUUUGAUCACCCUCUCCCCAGGGAAGGAAGUUACAUAACCUGGCUGUUUUGCUUUGAUGUACGGGCCCUGCUGUGAGAGGAUGACACUGCAUUCUUAUUUGUGGAGUUCUAGAAUUGACCAAAGACCCACCCAUCAUGUUCCUCAGGGCACUUCAAGGGACCUGAAAUGGUUCCAGAUAGUGGCUAUAGUAUGUCCCAACACUUUUGUUGCACCAAGACCCUGAAGAAGUUGAGGUCCUACCCCCAGGACUGUGGCUCUGACUUUAUCUGGAGAUAACAUCCUUGCAGGUGAACUUGGGUGGCCCUUAUCCAAUGUGAGUGGUGUCUGUGUAAGAAGAGGAGAAGGGGCAUAGGGAGAAGCUGUCACGUGAAGACAGAGCUGCAACUGGAGCAAUGCGUGCAUCAGCCAAGGGACGCCAAGGAUGCCGGCGAGCACAGGCACCGGGUACUAGAGGUGUAUUUCUCUCAGGAAACCAGCCUGCUCUGGAGGAGGAUGCUCGAGUCUUCAAAGGCGGGCAGCUGAAAGGUGCCCUGUGUUUCCGGUUCAACAUGGUGAGUGUCAGCCAAGGCAGAAGGCACUGCAAGUCAUGAGUGGUUGCCAAUGAAGCUGUGGUAAGAUUGGCCAAGACCACUUUCCGUGUUUGAGGCAGAGCCCGAGAGAGCAGGGCAAAGUGCUCCAGAGUUUGGCAGAGCUGGCCGCUGGGUGUGGAGCAGGUCCCUACCCAGGGUUCAGAAGUGGUCUGCAAAGGAGCUGUAAUGACAUACUCCCAGCUUGCAACUGAAGCGGAGAUGGAGGUUUGAGCCUGGAAAAGUUUAACAACUUUUAAGGGAAGGAGGGAAAGAUAGUGAGAAGAAUAAAAGAGAAGAGGAGAAAGGAAAAAGAAGAAAAACGAUCAUACACUUACUAUAUGCUCGGUGCAUAUAAUUUCUCUUUAAAUCCUCACACCAUCACCAUGAGGUGCGGAGAAGGCCUAUGGCCUGUGGACAUUUUUCCUCUGAGUGGGAUGAGAAAUUUGGAGUGGGGAGAGAGGAGGUCUGGAAUGCUGCUGACGGCCCAGGAGCCCCAGGAGUGUCUUCAAAGCUGUGUGGGAAUUUGGCCCACCCACAGCCUGCUGCCGGCUAGCCCUACCCCCUGCUGCCCUCCCGUAAACGUGGCUUUCCCUAUUAAUAGCAGACCCGUGGUCAGGACUUCCUACAGUCUCAAGCUCUGUGCUUUCAGUGGACACACAAGCUUCUCCUGAGACCUGUGCCUUUGCCAAAUGGGCGCAGGUUGCUGGAGCCGGAGGGAUAAUUGGAAAUGAGUGGGGCGGGCAGAUGUCCAUUUCUGACAAAAGCAGAAAUUUGAACAGCCUGCAGAAGACUUUCAUAAUCAGAUAAGGAAACUUCUGCACCAACAUCCCACUGUUCCUGGCUGUAGCUCAUACUGGGUAAUGCUCAACUGCCCCACCAAUGGUGGUGGAGCGCCAUCUUGGAAUCAUGUAGAAACAUAACAUUAUCUUCACCUGACUCCCUUUGCUUUUGGCUUCCUGUCUGGAUAUUUCCCACUUUCCCCGGGGCAAGGAGGCUGUAAUGAUGGCUGAGAAACAGCCUCGUCCCCUCUUCUUUAUACUCCCCCAAGUGUAGAGCAUCUGGAAUCUGUGUCUCAAUGUUUUCCAUGAAGACAGGCAGGAAAACUAGGGUGGUGCAGGGUUACGAGGAACCGGGCUUAACCCAAAGGGGAACCAUAUGGGAGAAUGUGAAAAUGAGUCCUUUAUCUUCCUCUUUGGCUUCCUUUCAUAAAGCCGAUUACUGAAAUUGGGAUCAAGAAGUCAUCUGGUUCAGACGUAACCCAGGGCCAACCCACUCCAGAAGACUGUAGGAACUCCUUAUAAAGUUCUCCAGGAAGAGGAGACCAUAUGCUCUUUUGGUGGCCCACGUUGGUGUUGAGUCACAUUUUCCAAUAGUAAUAAAGCAGGUUCCCUCUUGCCCUCUGGGGAGGUGGACUCCUGGGCAGGGUCCUUCUGCAUGCUCAAAACUGGCUAAUAAAGGACAC